UACGGAGGGGGCUAGCGUUGUUCGGAAUUACUGGGCGUAAAGCGCACGUAGGCGGCUUUGCAAGUUAGAGGUGAAAGCCCGGGGCUCAACUCCGGAAUUGCCUUUAAAACUGCAUCGCUAGAGUUGUGGAGAGGUAAGUGGAAUUCCGAGUGUAGAGGUGAAAUUCGUAGAUAUUCGGAAGAACACCAGUGGCGAAGGCGGCCGUCUGGACCAGUACUGACGCUCAGGCACGAAAGCGUGGGGAGCAAACAGG
rnacentral:rRNA from 1 species